UUCCAAUUGAUAUUUAAUAGUGUGUCUUUCUAUGUUGUGAUGUUAUACUAUUGUUUCAGAAAAGGGAGAAGGUUUGGUACCAUUAAAACGUUUAAUCCCGCUGCAAACGCCAGGAAUCUGAUGUACAGUAGUUGUCGUCUGUUUAUGUAGUUCAUACGUGUUUCUCGUUUCUCGUUUUUAUAUAGAUUAGACCGUUGGUUUUCCCGUUUGAAUGGUUUUACACUAGUAAUUUU
rnacentral:lncRNA from 1 species